rnacentral:tRNA from 1 species
CGGGGUGUAGCUCAGCUUGGUAGAGCGUUUGGUUCGGGACCAAAAGGUCGCAGGUUCAAGUCCUGUCACCCCGACCA